UCCGGAUUAGUGGCGAACGGGUGAGUAAUACGUGAGCAAUGUGCCCUUGACUCUGGGAUAAGCGCUGGAAACGGCGUCUAAUACCGGAUACGACUACCGGAGGCAUCUCCUGGUCGUGGAAAGAACUUCGGUCAAGGAUCAGCUCACGGCCUAUCAGCUUGUUGGUGAGGUAACGGCUCACCAAGGCGACGACGGGUAGCCGGCCUGAGAGGGUGACCGGCCACACUGGGACUGAGACACGGCCCAGACUCCUACGGGAGGCAGCAGUGGGGAAUAUUGCACAAUGGGCGCAAGCCUGAUGCAGCAACGCCGCGUGAGGGACGAAGGCCUUCGGGUUGUAAACCUCUUUUAGCAGGGAAGAAGCGAGAGUGACGGUACCUGCAGAAAAAGCACCGGCUAACUACGUGCCAGCAGCCGCGGUAAUACGUAGGGUGCAAGCGUUGUCCGGAAUUAUUGGGCGUAAAGAGCUCGUAGGCGGUUUGUCGCGUCUGCUGUGAAAACCCGAGGCUCAACCUCGGGCUUGCAGUGGGUACGGGCAGACUAGAGUGCGGUAGGGGAGAUUGGAAUUCCUGGUGUAGC
rnacentral:rRNA from 1 species